rnacentral:lncRNA from 1 species
CGCACAGCCAGCCAACGGGGGAGCGGGACUUGAACCCAGGACCUGGGCUCCAGGGGCUGCGUUCCCGACUGCAUCCCCCGACCCCAGGAAGGAAGGUGGCAGGCAGGCGCGUUGUUUGUGUGUGUGUGAGUGUGCGACACUCACCACAACAGUGCCUGAUGUUGACCGAGAACUUACACAGGGCCGGGACCUGCCCGACACUACCACCACUUCAUCUCAGUUGGGACGGCACCCCUGCGAGCCGGAACUCGCCCCUCGCCCAAGGGAGGCGGCCCCCGCUCCAGGCACCAGGCUGGGAGGCAGGCGGCCUCAGGACGGGCUCUGCGUGCAGCAGCGGCCUCACACUCGCAAGUGGAGCAGACAAGGACGACCGCAGGAAACACUCCCAGCUGGGCUGUGGGCGGGAGCAGUCUCUGCCCACUGGGCGCACAUUGAUGCCACCCCUCGGGAGCGCCCCCAGGACCUCGCUUUCUGCAGCCCUGACAUCCAAGCCCUGGAAUGUCCUUCCUGUUCCACUGUUUCUCUUGGCCACCUCUAAAGAAGGCGUCGGGGAACACACAUCACUUGGGGGAGGGUUCCGUGUUCUCAGUCACGUCCUGACUCGAUGAGGCUUCUGGGUUGCUCAGUGUCUCAGACAGCCUCAGCCCCUGUUGUCCGAGUCUUUCCGCAGCAGAACUCUCUCGAAAGCUGUUUGCUUAUCUGUUUACUUCCAGGCAGAUCCAGAUGAUCUUAUAGAGCAGCAGUUCUCAAUCAGGGACACAGAAAUGUCUGGAGACACUUUGGUUGCCACGACUGGGGGAUGCUACAGGCACCUAGUAGGUAGAGGCCGGAGAUGCUGUUAACCAUCCUUCAAUGCCCAAGACAGCCUCUUACAAAAAGAAUUACCCAGCCCAGCCCCACAUGUCAUUAGCGCCAACACUGAGAAACCCUAUUCUAGAAGGGCGCUUGUCGCUGUAGACCCGCUGGUCUGUGGACACUGAUAGCUUCUGCGCCUUCUUCCCAAGCAUUCCUGUCAGAGGACACCUUAGUCUCUAAGGCUAACAUCAAAGAACUCUCAAAUUCACUGUUAGCAUCAUGUAAUCAAAUGAAACUAAAAUCUGAAAAUACUGAGUUGCACGGAUUUGGGGAGAUACAGGAACUCUCGCUUUUACCUGUGAUGGAAAUGUGGGAAAACUAAUCAAUCUCAGGGGCAGUAGUGUGGGAGUUCCAUGAUACCGUGAACGCAAGCCGAUUAAAGUUGUGGAAGAGACGAACGGGUCCUACCAGACCAGGAAGCGCUUAGUAUUUUAUGAACAGAAUGGCCUCUCCGUCUUGGAGGAAAUCGUCAAUCAGUACUGUUGAUUGCUGAUUUUGUUUCUGUUAAUGUGAUAAGUAAGUGGGGAUCAUGAGACCAAAGGCUUGAAGAGGAGCUGAGGGUCUCGUGGUCUGUCUAUACUGAUACAGUGCUGAGCCGUGCUGUCCAAAGGAGAGAGAGAGAUGUGGGAUCUACCUGGAGCUGAGCUCCAUGCUGGCUUUGUCCUCCCAGAAGUGACCCUCCCACUGUCUUCAGCCCCUGCUCUGACCCAAAACCAGAGCUGCGUGCUGGCACCCAGUUGGAGCAAAGGACCAGAUUUGAGCCAAAGUUCCACUUAGCCUGGGGUUCUGAUAGAGAUGGACAUAGGUGGCAAAUGGGUGAGACAAUGGGCCAAAACUCUGUUUGGAUGGAGAACCAAAGGGCAGCCUAAGAGAGUAUUGAGAGAGAGCGAGAACACUGACCAAAUGAGCCGGAGGCAGGCUGCUGUUCCGCUCAGUGCAUUCUGCCAGCUAGCAGCAUCAUGAGCACCACUUGGGAACUCAGACACGCCGGCAGUCCCACUCCUUGCCUGCUGAUCUGGACUCUGUAUUCUAACACCAUCUCCAGGGGAAGUCUGAGAAGCACUGAUUUUGCCCUUGGGAAAAGGGGUGAUGGACUCAGGUACAGGUGGUUCCUAACAGACUGCCUCCCCGUCCAGCCCCUCAAGUUCAUACCUAAAAGCUUGGUGUCCCCAGAAGAGCUCUUUCACUGAAACUGUUGACGGUUGAGGAAAGGAGAGACGCGGCAGUGGUACACUGAGAGCGCCUUACACAAACCGGGCAUUCCCCCACUUUGCCAAACACGGCCAUGGCCCCUCUCAUCCGAUGUCCACGGCUCUGCUCGGGCUCCUCAAACCUCUGCUCUCCCUCUCAGCCAACCACCUCCCAGAGUUGACCUGAGAGCAGAUGGGAGCCCCCACUGUCCUCAGCACACAGGAAGUGGCCUCCUCCCUGGGAGGCUGGCACCACAGCCCUGCUCUGGAAUCAGAUGCUGGCCCCUCCUCAGAGCCACGUGGGAGCAGUCACCUCUUGGCUAGCUCUGUCCUGGCAACAUGUAAG